GAUCCUGGCUUAGGACGAACGCUGGCGGCAUGCUUCAUACAUGCAAGUCGAACGAUAAGGUCUCUUCGGAGAUACAUAAGUGGCGGACGGGUGAGUAAUAUGUAGGAAAUCUGCCCUAGAGAGGGGGACAACAGAGGGAAACUUCUGCUAAUACCCCAUAUGAGCGUACCUGAAAUGGUAUUCUUGAAAACUCCGGUGCUCUAGGAUGAGCCUGCAUCUGAUUAGCUUGUUGGCGGUGUAAUGGACCACCAAGGCGACGAUCAGUAGCUGGUUUGAGGGGAUGAUCAGCCACAAUGGGACUGAGACACGGCCCAUACUCCUACGGGAGGCAGCAGUAGGGAAUUUUGCGCAAUGGGCGAAAGCCUGAACCGCAGCAAUGCCGCGUGAACGUAGAAGCCCUUCGGGGCGUAAAGUUCUGUCAGUGGGGACGAAUUUUGACGGUACCCACAGAGGAAGCACCGGCUAACUCCGUGCCAGCAGCCGC
rnacentral:rRNA from 1 species